AUUGAACGCUGGCGGCAGGCCUAACACAUGCAAGUCGCACGAGUGGCGGACGGGUGAGUAAUGUCUGGGACACUGCCCGAUGGAGGGGGAUAACUACUGGACACGGUAGCUAAUACCGCAUACCAUCGGAUGUGCCCAGAUGGGAUUAGCUCGUAGGUGGGGUAACGGCUCACCUAGGCGACGAUCCCUAGCUGGUCUGAGAGGAUGACCAGCCACACGGGAACUGGGAAACGGGCCAGACUCCGACGGGAGGCAGCAGUGGGGAAGAUUGGACAAGGGGGGAAAGCCUGAUGAAGCCAGGCCGCGUGGAUGAAGAAGGCCUUCGGGUUGUAAAGUACUUUAAGCGAGGAGGCGUUACUCGCAGAAGAAGCACCGGCUAACUCCGUGCCAGCAGCCGCGGUAAUAC
rnacentral:rRNA from 1 species